UACGUAGGCAGCGAGCGUUGUUCGGAAUCACUGGGCGUAAAGGGUGCGUAGGCGGCCGUGCAAGUCUGGCGUGAAAGCCCCGGGCUCAGCCCGGGAAGUGCGCUCGAAACUGCGCGGCUCGAGUGCCGGAGGGGAGAGUGGAAUUCCUGGUGUAGCGGUGAAAUGCGUAGAUAUCAGGAGGAAUACCGGUGGCGAAAGCGACUCUCUGGACGGCAACUGACGCUGAGGCACGAAAGCGUGGGGAGCAAACAGG
rnacentral:rRNA from 1 species